rnacentral:rRNA from 1 species
CCUACGGGUGGCAGCAGUGAGGAAUAUUUGUCAAUGGCCGAGAGGCUGAACCAGCCAAGUCGCGUGAGGGAAGACGGCCCUACGGGUUGUAAACCUCUUUUGUCGGGGAGCAAAGAGAGUCACGUGUGACUCAUUGAGAGUACCCGAAGAAAACGCAUCGACUAACUCCGUUCCAGCAGCCGCCGUAAUACGGAGGAUGCGAGCGUUAUCCGGAUGUAUUGGGUUUAAAGGGUGCGCAGGCGGAGGUGCAAGUCAGCGGUCAAAUGGCGGGGCUCAACCCCGUACGGCCGUUGAGACUGCAUCCCUUGAGUGCGCGAGAAGUAUGCGGAAUGCGUGGUGUAGCGGUGAAAUGCAUAGAUAUCACGCAGAACUCCGAUGGCGAAGGCAGCAUACCGGCGCGCAACUGACGCUCAUGCACGAAAGCGUGGGUAUCGAACAGGAUUAGAUACCCUGGUAGUC